ACCACCUUACUCUUCUUCCGGUUUUCAGAGCAAACUACCAUUUGUUCUCUUCCCUUUCAGGGUGUUUCCUUCGCAUUUAAAUUGAUGUAAGCCUAAAUAUAAGGUUUGUGGCUACUUGACUGUUUUUCCCCCCUCCUCCCUUGUUAUCUUUAUCUUUCUACAUAGAUCUACCUUGUUCUUUUUAAGAGAUGCACGGUGUUCCAUAAUGCAGAUUACCAUGUUAAUUUUAUCUUCCCUCCACCGAUGAAUAGGUUCCCAAUUUUUGGCUAUUUCUUCACUACCACUCCCCAAAACGCUGGGGCCUGAGUUUUACUGUGCGCAUGCGCAUGUGCCCACGGGUUACCUUCCUAAAGACGUGAUGGCUUUGAGUCCUUUUUCAUUUUCAUUCUCCCGGGAACCGCAGCAGAUGCAACAGUUCCCAGCACCGAAACCAGACACACAACCUUCAGCCACCGAGCUCUACGACUAA